rnacentral:sRNA from 1 species
AAGUCGUAACAAGGUUUCCGUAGGUGAACCUGCGGAAGGAUCAUUCAUAAUAAGUGUUUUAUGGCACUUUUUAAAUCCAUAUCCACCUUGUGUGCAAUGUCAGUCGAUCUUCUUCAUGGAGAUCGACCAAACAUCAACCUUUAUUUUUUAACUCUUUGUCUGAAAAAUAUUAUGAAUAAACAAUUCAAAAAUACAACUUUCAACAACGGAUCUCUUGGCUCUCGCAUCGAUGAAGAACGCAGCGAAAUGCGAUACGUAAUGUGAAUUGCAGAAUUCAGUGAAUCAUCGAAUCUUUGAACGCAUAUUGCGCUCUUUGGUAUUCCGAAGAGCAUGCUUGUUUGAGUAUCAGUAAACACCUCAAAGCUUUUGGAUUUUUUAAUCGAAAAGCUUUGGACUUGAGCAAUCCCAACACCAAUCUUUUUGAGAUCGGUGGCGGGUUGCUUGAAGUGCAGGUGCAGCUGGACAUUCUCCUGAGCUAAAAGCAUAUUCAUUUAGUCCCGUCAAACGGAUUAUUACUUUUGCUGCAGCUAACAUAAAGGGAGUUUGACCGUAUUGGCUGACUGAUGCAGGAUUUCACAAGGGUCGGCAACGAUUCUUGUUAAACUCGAUCUCAAAUCAAGUAAGACUACCCGCUGAACUUAAGCAUAUCAAUAAGCGGGGAAAAGAAACUAACAAGGAUUCCCCUAGUAACGGCGAGUGAAGCGGGAUGAGCUCAAAUUUAAAAUCUGGCUGGUUUACUAGUCCGAAUUGUAGUUUAUAGAAGCGUUUUCGGUGGCAGCCUGGGUAUAAAUCCUUUGGAAUAGGGUAUCAUAGAGGGUGAGAAUCCCGUCUUUGACUCAGUGCAUGCUACUAUGUGAUACGUUUUCAAA